rnacentral:rRNA from 1 species
AACGAACGCUGGCGGCAUGCCUAACACAUGCAAGUCGAACGAGACCUUCGGGUCUAGUGGCGCACGGGUGCGUAACGCGUGGGAACCUGCCCUUAGGUUCGGAAUAACUCCCCGAAAGGGGUGCUAAUACCGGAUAAUGUCUUCGGACCAAAGAUUUAUCGCCUUUGGAUGGUCCCGCGUUGGAUUAGCUAGUUGGUAGGGUAAAAGCCUACCAAGGCGACGAUCCAUAGCCGGUCUGAGAGGAUGAUCAGCCACACUGGGACUGAGACACGGCCCAGACUCCUACGGGAGGCAGCAGUGGGGGAUAUUGGACAAUGGGCGAAAGCCUGAUCCAGCAAUGCCGCGUGAGUGAUGAAGGCCUUAGGGUUGUAAAGCUCUUUUAACCGGGAUGAUAAUGACAGUACCGGGAGAAUAAGCUCCGGCUAACUCCGUG